UUCAAACUCUCCUUCAUUUCAGAGAAGCGAGGCACAAAGGAGCUGCUGUUUUCCAGCAAGGAGUAACACAAGAAAAGUGCCCCAGCAGUCUGCAGUGUUCCACACCACCUCAUUACAGAUAAGGAACUGGAGCUUGGAGCCGUGCUGGGAGCAGGCAGAGGAUUUGGGCAGUCAUUGGAUAAAGAAAUUUUCCUGAACUGUGUCAAAGCACCCAGCUCUGCUGUUUCGGUGCCUGUGGUGGAGGGGAGCUCUGAGCCUGCAGGAAAGCACAGCUUGGGAAAACCCUGAGCCUUGGAAUUCAUAAUUUAACAAGCAGGUGGGUACAGUGAAGAUGAAACAACAACAAAAAAGGAAUGGUGAGGUUCUCCUCUUGGAAAGUGGUGUGUAAAUGCACACAGCCCCAAGCAGAGGCAUUUAUUGUGUAUGUCUGAAGCCACCUCUGGGGUUUUCUGCCUGUUUCUCUAUAUGCAGAACUCCCCAGCACUGGAAUCCUGUAGGAUCAGGAGUCAGAGCCCUGGGGCAGCAGGUACCUGAGUGUGAUUGAUUCUUUAGUGCCUUAUUUUUCAUUUCUAGAAGAGCUGGACUUGCAGCUCUUCCCUGGAGUGAAUUACAAGACAAGGAGCAGGGGCCAAAGGGAAGCUCAUUCCCGUGCUGAUGCAGCUGGAUUUUCCACAUCUGUGCUAGCCCAAUAUCCCAUAGUUUUCCAUCCCUCCAUCCAUCCCUCCAUCCAUCCCUCCAUCCAUCCAUCCAUCCCUGAAUCUCUGUGUGUCUAUUCCAGGAAUUUGGACCUGUAGUAAGAUGCUUUGAGGUUUAAAUUAUGUGGAUUGUGUUUAGGAUGGCUGUGAGUGCUGCUUGCAAAAUCCUAAUCACAAAGCUCCUCCCCAAGCCUUGCCCAGGCCCAGAGGAACCCUGAUUUUCCCUGGAGAAGGACAGAACUGACAGGGAGAGCCAGGAAUAAAGUGCUUUUACAGCACACACCUUGAAAAUCCAGUGAUGAAUGCCCAGACCAAACCUUCAGUGAGUUAUUGAUUAUAUUUCUCUCCUCUUUUGUAAACCUCCAAUCUAUUUAUCCUUCCAGUUACAGCUCCCUGAGAGCUGCCACGUGCACCAGGCUCACUGAAGGCUGGGGUUGCUCAUCCCAACCUGCUGGAUGCAAACCACUCCACAGGUUUAUUUUCUCCUCAGAUUGAGUUAAUAAAACAGCAAAGAGGAAAGGUGGCCCAGAAGCCACAGGAUCAAUAAGCUAUUAGGAGCCAAGAAAAUUCAGCAAACUGCACACAUAAUUAAAGGCUGUGGUGAACA